rnacentral:rRNA from 1 species
UACAGAGGGGGCAAGCGUUAUUCGGAAUUAUUGGGCGUAAAGGGCUCGUAGGCGGCCAACUAAGUCAAACGUGAAAUCCCUCGGCUUAACCGGGGAACUGCGUCUGAUACUGGAUGGCUUGAAUCCGGGGAGAGGGAUGCGGAAUUCCAGGUGUAGCGGUGAAAUGCGUAGAUAUCUGGAGGAACACCGGUGGCGAAGGCGGCAUCCUGGACCGGCAUUGACGCUGAGGAGCGAAAGCCAGGGGAGCAAACGGG